GUGGGUGCAGGAUGGGAUCAAUCCCUGUGUGAGCAGGAUGGGAUGAAUCCCUGUGUGAGCAGGAUGGGAUCAAUCCCUGUGUGUGCAGGACAGAGUGAAUCCCUGUGGGUGCAGGAUGGGAUCAAUCCCUGUGUGAGCAGGAUGGGAUGAAUCCCUGUGUGAGCAGGAUGGGAUCAAUCCCUGUGUGUGCAGGACAGAGUGAAUCCCUGUGGGUGCAGGAUGGGAUCAAUCCCUGUGUGAGCAGGAUGGGAUGAAUCCCUGUGUGAGCAGGAUGGGAUCAAUCCCUGUGUGUGCAGGACAGAGUGAAUCCCUGUGGGUGCAGGAUGGGAUCAAUCCCUGUGUGAGCAGGAUGGGAUGAAUCCCUGUGUGAGCAGGAUGGGAUCAAUCCCUGUGUGUGCAGGACAGAGUGAAUCCCUGUGGGUGCAGGAUGGGAUCAAUCCCUGUGUGAGCAGGAUGGGAUGAAUCCCUGUGUGAGCAGGAUGGGAUCAAUCCCUGUGUGUGCAGGACAGAGUGAAUCCCUGUGGGUGCAGGAUGGGAUCAAUCCCUGUGUGAGCAGGAUGGGAUGAAUCCCUGUGUGAGCAGGAUGGGAUCAAUCCCUGUGUGUGCAGGACAGAGUGAAUCCCUGUGGGUGCAGGAUGGGAUCAAUCCCUGUGUGAGCAGGAUGGGAUCAAUCCCUGUGUGUGCAGGACAGAGUGAAUCCCUGUGUGUGCAGGAUGGGAUGUGCCUCUCCUGCUCCCACAAAAGCAGAGCAGGGGGACGAGCCAGCCUCUGCCAAGCACCGCAGCACUGUGGAACUGGGAGCAGGGAGCCACAGCUCAGAGAGGAGCCCCAGAAGAGCCCUCUCCUGCCCACAGGCUGCCCUGAAAUCACUCCCUUCCCCUCCUGGUGCUGCCAGCCCCCAGCUCCCAUCCCUGCAGCCAGCACAGCCCCAAGCUGUACUGUGUCAGCCCCAUCCUCCCCCCGGAGCAGCUGCCACAGCCUUAUCAGCCCUGGGCAGGCACAGCCCUGCCCUGUGCUGGGGCUAUCGGGGCUCACACACCCUGCUGGGCUGGGACAAACACUUUUCUGCCCAGUACCAGCAGCUCACAGCCCGGCCAGGGCUUUGCUGUGCCCGCACAGGAACCUCCCACCUGCACCCACAGGGACUCGCUGGCCCUGCACAGCUCCCCCUUCUCAGGCACUCGGCAAUUCCCCACCCAGAUGGAAAAAUAUGUUAAACAAACUGUACCUUGCAAAGGGUCUGCAGCCACAAAGGGAAUUUCUCUGUUUCUUCUGCCUUCUCCUCCUGCCUCCACUGACAGAGGUCAGAGCCCUUCCCAGCUUUGGCCAACAUCACAAAGAACCCAGCAGGCUCCCUCCAGGGUCUGGAAGAUCACAAUUAGGUCCUUGCAGAGGUGUCAAUCAGCUGAACAAGGAGACAGCCACAGACCUGCUGCUUUUGCACACGCAGAAAUGUUCCUUUCCCCAGUGACAUCCCCAGAGGUGACUCCAUGACAGUGCAGUGAAAGCCAACUUUUCACUAGAAACAGGAGGAGGGCUCAGGUUUUGCCACAUGCUGGCCAAAAAAAAAAGUGUUUAAUAAUAUUUCACCUUGAGUAUUGCAGAGGUGAGAGGAGCAGCAGCAGCAGGGUUUCCUGCUGUGGGAGAAGAUGCAAUCAACAGGGAGGGACUGGAGUGGCUUCUGCUGCAGAGUCUGGUUUUUCCUUCCCCAGGCAGCUUGUGUAGCACAGCAGAGGAUAAAAUGAGAAAUAUCCCCUUUUCUCCUUGUUUUGUAAGUGGGCAUGGGAGAGAGAAGGAAGGAGAGUCUGCGUGGGUUGUCUGCAAGAACAAAGGAGGAAGUUUUCCCCUUAAUUUUAGACAAUUUUUCAGCAAGUGCCAGACGUGAUGUAAGAAGGCUGGUGCUGCUGAAGCCUUGCUCAACUUGCCCCCCUGCAAAUCCUGAUGUUAAUAAAGCAUUGAAAAUGCUGAUUUCACUGAAGUUCUUCUGUUUGCUUCCCCUUUCUUCAGGGAAAGUGGAGGCUACAGCAGGAAACAAUCAUCAGCUCACAGCUGCUCCCACCCUUGGACUCCAGAUCGAUACAAGAGAAUCGGCUCACACAGAAAAAAUGCAAAAUAUUCUGCCUAGGCAACCUCAGAAAGAUCUGUAUCACUGUUAGAUGCUGGCUUUUCUCCCAAUAAAAGCUGAAAACAACAACCAGCCCCCAGGCACAGACUGGGGGUGCAGAGGAGUUGAACCUCACGUGGGGUGGUGAUGGCACUGCAGGUGCAGGGAGUGCUGGAGGCGAGUUAUUCACAGCUGCUGUCACCCCCAAACCCCACUGACAGGGAGCAUGGUCAGCUUGGAAACAGUCACUCAGCCCCUGAGCAGCACAAAGACUGUCUGGAGGAAGGAGGAUGUUAAAUUAGAUGCCCUUCUCCUUUUUUCCACUCCUGCUUCCCCUCUGGAUCUGAUGAAGAGGUGGCUUUUUGCUACAUCAGGGAAGUUGGUUGUGUUCCAGGCUGCAGGCAACAACACAGAGGACAGGACAGCACCCUCAGCCUGGCUCAGAGCCACCCAGGGUUGGCCUGGGUGAACAGAGGUUUGGACAGCAGGCAGGGAUUUGGGCUCUAAGAUGUUUCCUGCCAAUGGGCAGAAUCCUGGGAAAGGCAUCAGCAUCUUUUACACAGGCAAGAACCACUAUGGAACACUGGGAGUGGGAAAAACUGGCUUUGGAUACUGUUGGGUGCACAGGAUCUCCUGCUUCCUCCUGCUCUGCAAGUUCUAAACUAAUAAAAACCAGUCCUCACUGAUGAGCAUCAUCUUAGUGGGUCACUACAUUUCCAGCCAUCCAGGCAGAGAAAUGGGAUUUCUUCACGCCCUGGAUCUGCUGACAAACACGUUCCUGCCUUCCCCUGCAGUGCAGGGAGCCCUCCCUGCCCGAGGAGCAGCAAACACGACCUGCUGCUCACAGCUUGGGAGUGCUCAGCCUUUAAAUAUUAACUGUGUGUGGAGCUGCAGGCACCGUGGCACAGCCCCAAAUGCAGGUUUGUCAGAUCCAGUGCUCAGCAAUUAAUCACAGCCUCACUCCCUGCAGAGGCAGCAGCUCGGCUGGGACUGCUCUCCCUUCACAUCUCUGGGGGGAUUUUUGGAUUCCUCAUCCCGAGUCAUCUGCUGCCUGUUCACCGAGUCCAAGCUGAGCACUGGCUCUGCCAUGCAGCAGGAGCUGCUCCGGGUAUUGACAGUGAGCAGGGACUCCAGAAAAAAUGCUGUCUGUGGGAGCUGCACUCCUGCUGGAACCAGUGCCUUGCCUCUCAAGUGCAUGACAGCAAGCAGAGACAGGCAAUCCAAGAGCAUCUGAAGUUCCACUCCUGCUGGAACCAGUGCCUUGCCUCUCAGGUGCAUGACAGCAAGCAGAGACAGUCAAUCCAAGAGCAUCUGAAGUUAGGCACAAAUAAAACUACUGCAGAGCCUUGUGGGACUCGAUCUACCUGGGUCCUUCUUAUUUUUUAAUCAAGGAAUUCCCAUCUCAGACACACUGGGAACAGUUCAGCUGCUGUGAACACAAUGGUGAGGGUACCAGAUGGAGGGGCAGAAGCACCUCCCUGCCACCACCGGCUCUGUCUGAGGGCAAACCCAGCAGUCAGUGCCAGAGCAGAUUCCUGCCCCAUUCCCAGCUGCAUUCCCCACGGGAUCUCUCCUGGCAGCCCCUCCUCAGCCCUUUGCCCUCCCUGGUCACCUCUGCUCCCUGAAGGAACGGGACCAAGGUCACUCCGAACCGGCUCCUGCUCGCUUCGGGCACAGCCCCACCGCUCUUAAUCCCUCCUGUCGGUUAUUGCGCAAUCGCUGAGUUACUCGAACAGGAAGGAAGAGGCUGGAACACCCAACCUACACUCGAACACCGCAACGAGGUGUUUUGGUAAAUCAAAAGUGUUGCAAACGUGAAGAAACUUCACUUGCUCCUGGAAAUUAAUCCUGGAACGUGCUCUUUUUUCCACUUCUGCUCUUCCCACUUCAGCUCCCAGCGCUUCAGUGUGGUGAGGUGAUCAGAUCCCAGCAUGGUCCAACAUCACUAACUCAUUCCUAAAAAGAAAUUAUUAGUUAUUUAUAAGUUAUUAAUUAUUUCAUAGAAUUAUCACAGAAU
ensembl:lncRNA